rnacentral:rRNA from 1 species
AACGUAGGUGGCGAGCGUUAUCCGGAUUUACUGGGCGUAAAGGGUGUGCAGGCGGGCUGUUAAGUGGUGCAUGAAAUCUCCGCGCUUAACGUGGAGAGGCUGUGCCAGACUGGCAGUCUAGAGUACGAGAGAGGGUUGUGGAAUUCCGGGUGUAGUGGUGAAAUGCGUAGAGAUCCGGAGGAACACCAGAGGCGAAGGCGGCAACCUGGCGCGUAACUGACGCUCAUACACGGCAGCAUGGGGAGCGAACGGG